rnacentral:lncRNA from 1 species
AUGGGUUUAACAACAACAUUUUCAAAAUUUACAAAAUUCAUUCAAAUUUCAUGGAUUUAAGAGCAACAUUUUCAUCAUUCCCACUAUUCAAUCAAAUAUCAUGGGUUAAACAAUAACAUUUUCAUCAUUCCCACAGUUCAAUCAAAUUUCAUGAGUUUAACAAUAACAUUUUCAUCAUUCACAAAAUUCUAUCAAUUUUCAUGGGUUUAAAAAUAAAAUCUUCAUCAUUCACACAAUUCAAUCAAAUUUCAUGGGUUUAACAACAACGUUUUCAUAAUUCACACAAUUCACUCAGAUUUCAUGGAUUUAAUAGCAAUAUUUUCAUCAUUCACACAAUUCAAUCAAAUUUCAUGGGUUUAACAACAAAAUCAUCAUCAUCCACACAAUUCUAUCAAAAUUCAUGGGUUUAACAACAACAUUUUCAUAAUUCAUAAAAUUCAUUCAAAUUUCAUGGAUUUAAUAGCAACAUUUUCAUCAUUCCCACAAUUCAAUCAAAUAUCAGGGGUUUAACAGUAGCAUUUUC